GACCAAAACGACGUCGUUUUGGGAAGCGCCUGCAUCUUCACUUCGAUCCUCCGCUUCAGAAUUUUUGGAAUUUUGUUUUGUUUCAGCGCCUAUUUUCCAUGCACAUGCUUCGAUUCCAGCCGGAAGCAUGUUUUCAAAUUAAAUCCACCAUUUCCUUUCCCUCCAAUUCAUCAUGUGCAUUUGUUCAUUAUUCCAAAUAUUUUCAUGUCAACUUUGAAAAAUCAUAUCAAAUUGAAAAUGAUUCCAAAUAAUUCCAAUUUUUU
rnacentral:lncRNA from 1 species